rnacentral:rRNA from 1 species
AGGACGAACGCUGGCGGCGUGCUUAACACAUGCAAGUCGAGCGGAAAGGCCCUUCGGGGUACUCGAGCGGCGAACGGGUGAGUAACACGUGAGUAAUCUGCCCCUAGCUCUGGGAUAGCUCCGGGAAACCGGGAUUAAUACCAGAUACGACCUCGAGCGGCAUCUCUUGAGGUGGAAAGCUCCGACGGUGAGGGAUGGGCCCGCGGCCUAUCAGCUUGUUGGUGGGGUAAUGGCCUACCAAGGCGACGACGGGUA